GUUUGCCAAUUGAAGUGCCUGUAAACAUCAUUAGCACAGUAUUCAUUAGUUGACAAACUGCAGAUUUUACCAACUGUUGCAAAUGAUUUCAUCUCAAUCUAAUAGACUUCCAAACAGUUAAGCCAAGCAGAAAUUUACAUUAAUCACAAGCAAGAUACUAAUAUCAGAAUCCUACAAUGAAUAUACCAAAAAAAAAGAAGUCUGAAUGCUAAACAGCAGUAAUUCGAACACAUUCUAGUUGCUCGGACUAGUGGACAUAGCAAAUGCUAUAGGACCUGCAGAAAAGGAGGGUCAUCCGAAAAAGGAUUGAGGGUGGAACAUGCAAAGAGAUGCGCUCACACCCUGUGUAAACAUCUGCCCUGCACGCAAUCUAAUUUACAUGCCACAACGAAGAAGAAGAUAAUUUAU
rnacentral:misc_RNA from 1 species